rnacentral:lncRNA from 1 species
ACAAACCAUGAGCUCAUCGGAAGAGACUCAGAAAGUAAUCCAAGGUAACUUCACUCUAACAAAUACUGAGUGGACAGACGGAGUUCAGUUGGGGUAAACUUUCUUUGGACAACUUCAAUCCAAUCAGUAGUUUACAAAGAAAAUAAGCACUGACAUCAUGAAAUGAAAAAUCAAAAGUGAUAAAUAUGACCUACAUAUUUUGGGGAGAGCUAUAUUAUUUGCCAUGAAUCAUAGUGAGGAAUUGAUUCAUGUUUGUAGUUGAUAAUUCACAAUCUGCUUUUAAAAAUGUACUGGUUCUUUAGGUCAUAUUUUUGCUGCUCCACUUUUCUAAAAACAAAACUGUGGAAAUUCAUGAUUAUGUAUGCAAAUCCAUGUUUCUUUUUCUUAGCAUUUUUCCUAAUCUUUAUAAAUUGUAAUUCAAAAAUUUAGUUCUUUCCAUCAUCUAGCAUAGAUAAGAAUGUGUGUGUGUGUGUGUGUGUGUGUAGUCAAUGGGUACUAAGUUAAAAUUAGAAGCAAGGACAUCUGAGUGUGGUGGCACAGUAGAAUGACUAUAUGUAACAGUAAGGUACUACGCAUUUCAAAAAGCUCGAAGAAAGGAUUUGAAAGUUUUUACCAUAAAGAAACGAUAAACAAUUGAUAAGAUAGACAUGUUUAAUCUGAUUUAAACAUCAUACAAUAUAUACAAGCAUCAGAACAUUACAUGGCUACCCCUUUAAUGUGUAUAAUUUUAAUGUAUCUGUUAAAAGAAAUUUUGAAAAGAUCGAGAGGAGUUAUUUUGGAUAGCAAAACUACUGGUAUAUUUUGCAGGUUUUCCAAUAUAAACACACAAUUCCUUUUUAAUCAGCACAAAACAAUAACUGUCACUUAAAAAAUCAGUAAGAGGCUGUGAAUUAGAGUAAAAUUAUCUUAAGAAGCAUUUGUCUUCCUUAUGUGUCGUAUUGCUUUUUCUGCUU